rnacentral:hammerhead_ribozyme from 1 species
AUUCAGAUGACGAGUCUCAAAUAAGAUGAGACGCGCGUCCUGGAC